rnacentral:rRNA from 1 species
UACGGAGGGUGCAAGCGUUAAUCGGAAUUACUGGGCGUAAAGCGCGCGUAGGCGGCUGGAUAAGUCGAUUGUGAAAGCCCCGGGCUCAACCUGGGAAUUGCAGUCGAGACUGUUCGGCUAGAGUGUGGGAGAGGGUGGUGGAAUUCCCGGUGUAGCGGUGAAAUGCGUAGAUAUCGGGAGGAACAUUAAAGGCGAAGGCGACCACCGAGCUCUACACUGACGCUGAGGUGCGAAAGCGUGGGUAGCAAACAGG